rnacentral:rRNA from 1 species
AUUGAACGCUGGCGGCAGGCCUAACACAUGCAAGUCGAGCGGAGCGGCGGACGGGUGAGUAAUGCCUAGGAAUCUGCCUGGUAGUGGGGGAUAACGUCCGGAAACGGGCGCUAAUACCGCAUACUAUCAGAUGAGCCUAGGUCGGAUUAGCUAGUUGGUGGGGUAAAGGCCUACCAAGGCGACGAUCCGUAACUGGUCUGAGAGGAUGAUCAGUCAGACUGGAAAUGAGAAACGGUUCAGAAUCCUAAGGGAGGCAGCAGUGGGGAAUAUUGGACAAUGGGCGAAAGCCUGAUCCAGUCAUUCCGCGUUGGUGAAGAAGGUCUUCGGAUUGUAAAGCACUUUUAGUUGGGAGGCGUUACCAACAGAAUAAGCACCGGCUAACUUCGUGCCAGCAGCCGCGGUAAUAC